rnacentral:rRNA from 1 species
UACGAAGGGGGCUAGCGUUGCUCGGAAUUACUGGGCGUAAAGGGCGCGUAGGCGGCUUGACAAGUCACUUGUGAAAUCUCCGGGCUUAACUCGGAACGGCCAAGUGAAACUGUCAUGCUAGAGUGCAGAAGGGGCAAUCGGAAUUCUUGGUGUAGCGGUGAAAUGCGUAGAUAUCAAGAGGAACACCUGAGGUGAAGACGGGUUGCUGGGCUGACACUGACGCUGAGGCGCGAAAGCCAGGGGAGCAAACGGG